rnacentral:rRNA from 1 species
UGCGUCGUAGUCCGGAUUGGAGUCUGCAACUCGACUCCAUGAAGUCGGAAUCGCUAGUAAUCGUGGAUCAGAAUGCCACGGUGAAUACGUUCCCGGGCCUUGUACACACCGCCCGUCACACCAUGGGAGUGGGUUGCAAAAGAAGUAGGUAGCUUAACCUUCGGGAGGGCGCUUACCACUUUGUGAUUCAUGACUGGGGUGAAGUCGUAACAAGGUAACCGUAGGGGAACCUGCGGUUGGAUCACCUCCUUACCUUAAAGAAGC